GGAGAGGUGCCCGGAGUGGUUUAUCGGGGACCGAGAGAAUCAUUCGAGGUCGAGUCGGAAGGCUCACGCAGGUUCGAAUCCUGCCCUCUCCGC
rnacentral:tRNA from 1 species